rnacentral:lncRNA from 1 species
GGCAGGCACAGACACCAAGGACAGAGACGCUGGCUAGGCCGCCCUCCCCACUGUUACCAACAUGAAGCUGCUCGCAGCAACUGUGCUACUCCUCACCAUCUGCAGCCUUGAAGUACUUCCAGACCGUGACUGACUAUGGCAAGGACCUGAUGGAGAAGGUCAAGAGCCCAGAGCUUCAGGCCGAGGCCAAGUCUUACUUUGAAAAGUCAAAGGAGCAGCUGACACCCCUGAUCAAGAAGGCUGGAACGGAACUGGUUAACUUCUUGAGCUAUUUCGUGGAACUUGGAACACAGCCUGCCACCCAGUGAAGUGUCCAGACCAUUGUCUUCCAACCCCAGCUGGCCUCUAGAACACCCACUGGCCAGUCCUAGAGCUCCUGUCCCUACCCACUCUUUGCUACAAUAAAUGCUGAAUGAAUCCA